rnacentral:rRNA from 1 species
CCCUUAGAUGUCUUGGGCUGCACGCGUGCUACAAUAAACGAUACACAGAAAUAGUUGGCUGUAAAGUCAUCUUUGUUCCGAAUAUCGUUUGUAGUGGGGCUAAUUGCUUUGAAUUGUUUAAUUUUAACGAGGAAUUCCUAGUAAGUAUAGAAAAUUAUUCUGUGCUGAUUUAGUCCCUGCCCUUUGUACACACCGCCCGUCGCUCCUACCGAUUGAGCGCUCCGGUGAGCACGUGAGAGACUCUGCAUUUAGUAGAUUCAAAUAUGUGUGAACCUUGGCGUUUAGAGGAAGGAGAANUCGUANCA